UAGUCCCUAUUCUAUUCCUUCCCUUAAUGUAGACGGUCAGGAAUAGGGGACUACCCUUACGAGUACGAGUUUAACUAAAGAGAAUUACAGUUAAAGAGAGGGUAUUACUUCAGACUAGACCUUUAUAAAUAUGUUUCUUAACGAGGACUCUCCUUCCCCCCCGCCUAGACUCGAAAGAGACUAGAAAGAAAUCGUCGUUCUUGCUUUCGGACCCCUUCGUUCCCCCUUGGCAUAGGGGAACUCCGGCGGCGUUCGAGUGCUAUAAUGUAAUAGCCCUCUCACUCCCUCAACUCCAGAGAAUGACUGUUAUUAAGCAUAUCGUGCAUUCUAUAUCUU
rnacentral:lncRNA from 1 species